CGGGAGUGUUUUAGUGUUCUCAAAAUCUUAUAUUGAUAAAAAUGACAACUCCUUUAAAUAAUUGAAUGUACAUGUACAGGAAGACAAACGAUUACCGCACGUUCUAGAGACAUGCCACGAACUAAGUAUCAUCUUCGUGUCAUAAUUGCGCAUGCUUGUCUCUUCACAUACAAGUAAACGCAAAUUUUCUAAUAGGCAAAAUAUUUCG
rnacentral:lncRNA from 1 species